CGCCCAUCCACCGGCGCCUUCUUCCGCCCCUGCCUCCCGCCCCCCUCCCGGUGACCACGUGAGCAGCGCGCGCGCGCGCGCGCGGGGGCGAAACCCCGCCCCUUCCUUUCGCCUUCACGUGACCGGCUCCCCGCCCCUCCCUCGGCGCGCGCGGGGCGGGAGGAAGGGGCGGGGACGGCGGAGCCCCUCCCCGGAGGCGCGUGAGGGCCCCGCUGAGGGCGCCCUCCGGGCCCCGUCCCGGCGGUCGUGUGAGGCAUCCCCUGAGGGAUCCCAGUAAAGGACACACAGAGGGCCCCCCGGGAGGGUCCGCGGGAGUUAAUCUGCGAGUUCCUGAGGAGCCCCUCGAGAGACCCCAUGAGAGCCCAUGCGAGGAUUCUUCUGAGGAACCCUCUCACGGACGGCGUGAGGGACAACGUGUGAGGGUCCCCCUGAGAAGCCCCCCCGAGGAAUACCAUGACGGGGCCCGAGGAUGGACACAGGGAGGCACCCUGUUGACAUGGAGAACUCCAGGACAAAAGAUAGCUACACUACAGGAGAAGAAAGUCAAAUAGAUUUAUCCAGUCUGCAUCCUUGACGCUUACUGCAUAGAAGGGCAGGAGCUACAAAAGAUCCUACUGCUGAGGAGCUGCAAGAUCUCCCUGUUCUUGUUUUCUCUCAGUAAGACAGAGGGUCCUUUGAACUAAAUUGAAAUUCAGAC